UACGACGGGGGCUAGCGUUGUUCGGAAUUACUGGGCGUAAAGCGCACGUAGGCGGAUCAGUCAGUUAGAGGUGAAAGCCCAGGGCUCAACCCUGGAACUGCCUUUAAUACUGCUGGUCUGGAGUCCGAGAGAGGUGAGUGGAAUUCCGAGUGUAGAGGUGAAAUUCGUAGAUAUUCGGAGGAACACCAGUGGCGAAGGCGGCUCACUGACUCGGUACUGACGCUGAGGUGCGAAAGCGUGGGGAGCAAACAGG
rnacentral:rRNA from 1 species